CUGAAAACACCACUCAAUUUCUGCGGAUAUUCACUGAAAAAUUAAAUACAAACGUAUUCUUGUCUUUCGCUUUCAUCCCAAUUAUUUUUGUUUGUUUUUUCCUAGCAAACGUGUUGUCAAUAAGACAGUAAACUAUUUGGAUAAAAGGCACUCGAUUAUCUACCUAUAUUAUUAUUUGGGUGAUUGUAGAGACAUAUAUAACAAG